UACAGAGGUGGCAAGCGUUGUUCGGAAUUACUGGGCGUAAAGGGCGCGUAGGCGGCCAUCUAAGUCAGACGUGAAAUCCCCCGGCUUAACCUGGGAACUGCGUCUGAUACUGGACGGCUUGAGUAUGGGAGAGGGAUGUAGAAUUCCAGGUGUAGCGGUGAAAUGCGUAGAUAUCUGGAGGAAUACCGGUGGCGAAGGCGGCAUCCUGGACAAUUGCUGACGCUCAGGCACGAAAGCGUGGGGAGCAAAAGGG
rnacentral:rRNA from 1 species